rnacentral:ncRNA from 2 species
AUAAUAUCGCGUUUAGUCGGUGCCCUGACGGGCCUAACAGGGAACACAGCAAAACUGUGGCUGCCCCCGCAAUUGUACGCAGCGAGUCCGCGCUCCACUGCCACUGGUUUCGACUGGGAAGGCUCGCGCGGGCGGCGACCUGCCAGCCAAGAGACCUGCCGACCGGAAUUCUUCGUG